rnacentral:rRNA from 1 species
CAUGGGCGAAGCCUGAUCCAGCCUGCCGCGUGAGUGAUGAAGGCCUUAGGGUUGUAAAGCACUUUCAGCGGGGAAGAUAAUGACGGUACCCGCAGAAGAAGCCCCGGCUAACUUCGUGCCAGCAGCCGCGGUAAUACGAAGGGGGCUAGCGUUGUUCGGAAUCACUGGGCGUAAAGCGCGUGUAGGCGGAUUGCUAAGUCAGGGGUGAAAUCCCGAGGCUCAACCUCGGAAUUGCCUUUGAUACUGGCGAUCUUGAGUCCGGGAGAGGUGAGUGGAACUCCUAGUGUAGAGGUGAAAUUCGUAGAUAUUAGGAAGAACACCAGUGGCGAAGGCGGCCCACUGGCCCGGUACUGACGCUGAUAUGCGAAAGCGUGGGGAGCAAACAGGAUUAGAUACCCUGGUAGUCCACGCCGUAAACGAUGGAUGCUAGCCGUCGGGCAGCUUGCUGCUCGGUGGCGCAGCUAACGCAUUAAGCAUCCCGCCUGGGGAGUACGGUCGCAAGAUUAAAACUCAAAGGAA